GCAGACAUUAUAAAAUCGUAGUAUUGCAAUAGAAAUAUGCUAUUAAGCCAGUAAUUAGAGUACAGAAUGCCAGCUUCACAUGCAGGAACACAAGGUUGUUAACUUUACCAAAGUUAACAAGAGGCAUAAGCUUAGGUGCAAGCGGCGGAUCUCCUUAAGAGGCAUACCAAACGACCGUAUUCAUCCGUCUGAAAAGGCAUCUAUCCAUCAUAGCCGGAAGAGUGGCCAAUCAAAAACAUUCUUCUCUUUGUUUCGUUUGGUCAAAUUCUGCAUCAACAUACUUUGCUGUCUUCAUAUAUAUAUAGCAGACUCACCACAAUCUUUCUUCAUCCUCAACUCACCAAUCAUCAAUCAUCCUCUUUUUUCUUCCCUCUUUUAAUAUCUCUAUACCAUCCCCACCCAACAUCAAGAGAGACAAACCAAGUUUCAUUAGCAGCAGCAGCAGCCUUGUGUUGGAGACUCUGGUGCUGGAAAGAUGGGAAUCCAGUCACUUGAUGCUGUUAUGAAAGAAACAGUUGAUCUGGUAAUAACUUAAUGAUGUAGCAAAUGGUAUAGUUAAUGUAUGUCGAGAAUGCUAGGUACCUUAUGUUUUCUGUUUUUAUCCUAAAUGAACAGGAGAAUGCACCCAUGGAAGAAGUGUUUGAGCAUCUCAAGUGUACAAGAGAUGGUUUGAGCUCUGAUGAUAUUCAACAAAGAUUGGAGCUUUUCGGACACAACAAGCUUGAAGAGAAGAAGGAAAGUAAAUUAC
rnacentral:lncRNA from 1 species